GGUGGAUUGCCGAGCUGUUGUUUAAGUUUGAGAAGAAGGGUUCGUUCAGCGUUGAUGUCUUGUGAAAUGGCUUUGAAGGGCGUGGAGAGGAAGAGGAGGAAGAGAAAGGAUAAGCAUAAUACAGACAUUUUCUGGAUAUUGGACAGGUACUUGCUUUCCUUCUUUCUGGAAAAGGGCUGGUUUUUUAACUUUCAUGGGUGAGCACGGCCCUGCCUGGGCUCACUCUUAUAAGCAAGCUUUGGGUUCUGUUUAGUAUAGACUUUCAGGUUCAGAUUUCAGACUGUGAAUCAGUUCUGGUCGCAACUGGUAAGAGUUUGGUCUUUACACGCAUUAAUUUUAAUCAUUUUCUACUAUUGCCAUUGCUUUUACUCUACCACCAUUCUUACUUAAAUAUACGAGUUUUUUAUUUUUUUUAUUUUCUGUGAAAUGUUUUAAUCUCACAAAUGAAGCUAAAAGAACUCUUAUUAAUUGAAUUUUUUUACUCUACUUUUGACACUUACCUUUUUGACCUUGCUUUUGCUUGUGAAUUCUGCUGGGAGUGUAACAAAUGAUUUUUCGUAUAGAUAUAUAUCUUAUUUGAUAAAUAAAUCCAUUUACUGUGGAUUUGUUUUUACUUUCUCUCCUCUUGCGUAAUGUUUGAGUCUUCACGCUGUUUGAAUGACAGUUUCGCAAUUAGUAGCAAAUAUACGAGGAUUUUGGUAAAAAGAUAGUUGGUGGAACAGUCAACCAUCAUGCUCUGCCCUGGUGCGCUGCUUGUUGACUAAAAUGAAACCUACAAAAGAGUGAAGCGAAAGCAUAGGCCCAGCCAUUGAAAAGCUUUUAUGGAGUAGUGGGCGAGUCAAGCGUUAGAAGUAUUGGGUCAACACGAUGUCUAUAUAAAAAAGUAGAAUUUGGCAAUUUGCGGGAAACUUCCUAUUUUGUUAAUUUCUUUGUUUGAAUCUUACUUUUACCAAAACCCAUUCUUUUAUUUUCCAUUGGCUACCAUUAGUUGUAAUUUAAAUUAUAUAUAUAUAUAUUAUAUCUAUAGG
rnacentral:lncRNA from 1 species